rnacentral:rRNA from 1 species
UACGGAGGGUGCAAGCGUUAAUCGGAAUUACUGGGCGUAAAGCGAGUGUAGGUGGCUAUGUAAGUCGGAUGUGAAAUCCCCGGGCUCAACCUGGGAACUGCAUUCGAUACUGCAUGGCUAGAGUCUGAUAGAGGGAAGUGGAAUUCCAGGUGUAGCGGUGAAAUGCGUAGAUAUCUGGAAGAACACCAGUGGCGAAGGCGGCUUCCUGGAUCAAGACUGACACUGAGGCUCGAAAGCGUGGGGAGCAAACAGGAUUAGAUACCCUGGUAGUCCACGCCCUAAACUAUGUCAACUAGACGUUGGGUUCUUUAAUGAACUUAGUGUCGAAGCUAACGCGUUAAGUUGACCGCCUGGGGAGUACGGCCGCAAGGUUGAA